CAGUCGCCGCGGUAAAACGAAGGGGGCAAGCGUUGUUCGGAAUUACUGGGCGUAAAGGGCGCGUAGGCGGUGCACUAAGUCAGGCGUGAAAGCCCUGGGCUCAACCCGGGAAUUGCAUUUGAUACUGUUUGGCUUGAGUUCGGGAGAGGUGAGUGGAAUUCCCAGUGUAGAGGUGAAAUUCGUAGAUAUUGGGAAGAACACCAGUGGCGAAGGCGGCUCACUGGACCGACACUGACGCUGAGGCGCGAAAGCGUGGGGAGCAAACAGGAUUAGAUACCCCCGUAGUCCCUGUCUCUUAUAC
rnacentral:rRNA from 1 species